CAUAAUUGCUUGACGACGAGAGAGAGCACGCUGGUUAGCAUUCAUGCUGUGGGCAUGGCUGUCGACAAGCGUGCUUUCUGUCGUCGUCAUACAAUAUGCUC
rnacentral:pre_miRNA from 1 species